AGCAGCCGCGGUAAUUCCAGCUCCAAUAGCGUAUAUUAAAGUUGUUGCAGUUAAAAAGCUCGUAGUUGAAUUUCGGGGUUCAUCCGUUGGUCGGGCUUUUUUGGUCUGUACUGGCGUGAUGGAUUCCUACCUUCUGAAUAACCAGCAUGUCAUUAAUUUGGUGCGCUGGGGAAGCAGGACUGUUACCUUGAAAAAAUUAGAGUGCUUAAAGCAGGCUAUCGCCUGAAUACAUUAGCAUGGAAUAAUGAAAUAGGGCGGCAUGGUUCUAUUUUGUUGGUUUCUAGGAUCACCGUAAUGAUUAAUAGGGAUAGUUGGGGGCAUUAGUAUUCAAUUGUCAGAGGUGAAAUUCUUGGAUUUAUUGAAGACUAACUUCUGCGAAAGCAUUUGCCAAGGAUGUUUUCAUUAAUCAAGAACGAAAGUUAGGGGAUCGAAGACGAUCAGAUACCGUCGUAGUCUUAACCAUAAACUAUGCCGACUAGGGAUCGGACGAUGUUAAUUUUUUAAUGACUCGUUCGGCGCCUUACG
rnacentral:rRNA from 1 species